rnacentral:rRNA from 1 species
AAGGUAGCGAAAUUCCUUGUCGGGUAAGUUCCGACCUGCACGAAUGGCGUAAUGAUGGCCACGCUGUCUCCACCCGAGACUCAGUGAAAUUGAAAUCGCUGUGAAGAUGCAGUGUACCCGCGGCUAGACGGAAAGACCCCGUGAACCUUUACUACAGCUUGGCACUGAACAUUGAACCUACAUGUGUAGGAUAGGUGGGAGGCUAUGAAGACGUGACGCCAGUUGCGUUGGAGCCGUCCUUGAAAUACCACCCUUGUAUGUUUGAUGUUCUAACUUAGACCCAUUAUCUGGGUUGAGGACAGUGCCUGGUGGGUAGUUUGACUGGGGCGGUCUCCUCCCAAAGAGUAACGGAGGAGCACGAAGGUGGGCUAAUCACGGUUGGACAUCGUGAGGUUAGUGCAAUGGCAUAAGCCCGCUUAACUGCGAGAAUGACGGUUCGAGCAGGUGCGAAAGCAGGUCAUAGUGAUCCGGUGGUUCUGUAUGGAAGGGCCAUCGCUCAACGGAUAAAAGGUACUCCGGGGAUAACAGGCUGAUACCGCCCAAGAGUUCAUAUCGACGGCGGUGUUUGGCACCUCGAUGUCGGCUCAUCACAUCCUGGGGCUGAAGUCGGUCCCAAGGGUAUGGCUGUUCGCCA